rnacentral:rRNA from 1 species
UACGUAGGAUGCAAGCGUUGUCCGGAAUUAUUGGGCGUAAAGAGCGAGCAGGCGGUUACUCAAGUCAGAUGUAAAAUAUCCCGGCUUAACCGGGAGGGGCCAUUUGAAACUGGGUAACUAGAGUGAAGCAGAGGAUAGCGGAAUUCCCGGUGUAGUGGUGAAAUGCGUAGAUAUCGGGGAGGAACACCAGUGGCAGAAGGCGGCUAUCGUGGGCUUUAACUGACGCUGAGGCGCGAAGGCUAGGGGAGCAAACAGG